rnacentral:lncRNA from 10 species
GUUUAUCACUCCACACUCCAUGUCCAUGUGUACACAUUAUUUAGCUCCAACUUAUAAGUGAGAACAUAUGGUAUUUGACUUCUGUUUCUGAGUUGUUUCGCAUAAGAUAACAGCCUCUAGUUUCAUCCAUGUUUCUGCUAAAGACAUGAUUUCAUUCAUUUUUAAUGGGUGGAUGGUGUAUAUAUAUGUGUGUAUAUAUAUAUAUAUAUAUAUGCCUCAUUUUCUUUAUCCAAUCAUCUGUCAAUUAACAAUUAGGUUGAUUCCAUGUCUAUGCUAUUACGAAUCUGACUAGGUGCGGUGACUUACGCCUGUAAUCCCAGCACUCUGGGAGGCCAAGGUGGGAGGAUCACUUGAGCCUAGAGGUUUGAGACCAGCCUGGGAAACAUAGUAAGACCCAACCUCUACAAAAAUAAAAAUAAUUAACUGGGCAUGGUCGCCUGUGCUUGUAGUCCCAGCUACAUGGAGGCUGAGGCAGGAGGAUCGUAUGAGCCCAAAAGUUGAAGCCGCAGUAAGCCAUGAUAGUGCCAUUGCACUCCAGUCUGGGCAACACAGGGAGAUCCUGUCAAAAGAAAGAGAGAAAAGGAGACAGAAAAAAAGAGAGAGAGAGAGAGAAAGAAAAAGAAAGAAAGAAAGAAGAAAAAAAGAAAGAAAAAGAAAGAAGAAAAAAGAAAGAAAGAAAAAGAAAGAGGGAGAGAAAGAAAGAGAGAAAGAGAGAAAGAAACAUAUGAGUGCAGCUGUCUGUUUGAUAUAACUAUCUAUUUUCUUUUGGGUAGAUAUAGAUAUCUUAAUGGGGUAAAAACCUCAGAAGACUCCAAGGAUGGUUUCUCACAUGUACAAUUAAUGAGCCUUCAAAUGACUAUUCCACUAUUAUUUUAAGCCAGUUGUUUAUUAUUGUUAAGGCACAUGGUAAUAUGAGUGUCCGCCAAUUGUCACAACUUUUUCAAUGUAAGUUGCUUUCCCAGAGGUGACAUUGUAAGGAAUGCCACAGCGAAAGAGAAGACAUUGUCUAACUCUGCAGAUGAUGAAGCUGUCCAAGAGAAAUAGCCACGCACACAUUGCAGAGCAUCAACAACCGAGCAGGAGAAUAAAUACCAUGACUUAUCUUUUCUCCCACCUUUGCAUCUCCUUCUGGCAAUACUCAACCAGAAACCAGAAGGCAAAGGAGCCUGUUUGAUGCAGUCUAUAAAGUCAGUGUCCAGCUUAUACGUACAGAGUUGGGUAAAGAAGAGUGAAGAAUGAAGCUGAGACGGUAAAUAGAAAACUUUCUAAAACCUAAAAGUAGUUCAUGAAGUAACCAGAGUCAAAUCUAGAUGUAGCCACAAUGCUGAAAGCCUUUUUAAAACUCUCAAACUCAAUACACCACACUGAGUUAUUAUGGAAGAUAUUUUUAUGUCAGAGAGCUUGACUUCAAAUAUUUUCUUUCCCAUUCAUUAGUUGAGUAACCAUAGAAUAGUUCUUAAACAUUCUGAUGUUCAAUCUUAAAAUAUUUUCAAAGUGGGUACUAUCUACACUCUGAAUCAGUGUUCACUGUAUAGGGUUGUUUCUCCCAUAGCCAGGGUUUAUGAGUCCAGGAAUCAAUGGGUGAAAAUGGCAGUGGCACCACUCACCUUUAGGGAUACCCUAGCAAGAUUUUUGCAUCUUAUUUCUGAGACUUUAUGCUCUGUCGGCCUGAAGGACUUAGUUUCAAAGUGAAGACUGUUUCCACCAGGAGACACAACAAUGAUUCCUUAAACUGGAAGUUAAGAUUGCUACCUGGCCACUUUGGGUUCCUCAUGCCUCUGAAUCAACAGGCAAAGAAGGGAAUUACUGUACUGGCUGAUGUAAUUGAUCCUGCUUAUCCAGGGAGAAUUGACCGCUACUACACAAUGUGAGAAAGAAUGAGUAUGUAGAAUACAGAAGAUCUCUUAGCACUUCUCUUAAUAGUAUCAUUCCCUAUGAUUAAAUCUAGUGAAAACUACAACAACGAAAUUCAGGCAGAGUUAUUAAUGGUGAAAAGCACCAGAAAUAAAUGUUUAGUUUACCAGUUU